CCCUACGGGGCGCAGCAGUAGGGAAUAUUAGGCAAUGGGAGAAAGCAUGACCGAGCAACGCCGCGUGAAUGAAGAAGGCCUUCGGGUUGUAAAAUUCUGUUAUAAGGGAAGAAAGGUGAUAGGAGGAAAUGACUAGCAAUUGACGGUACCUUAUGAGAAAGCCACGGCUAACUACGUGCCAGCAGCCGCGGUAAUACGUAGGUGGCAAGCGUUAUCCGGAAUUAUUGGGCGUAAAGGGCGCGCAGGUGGUUAAUUAAGUCUGAUGUGAAAGCACACGGCUUAACCGUGGAG
rnacentral:rRNA from 1 species